UUUGGUGUUGUCAGAUUGCCCCGAGUGAUGUCAUCGUGGGACCCAUGUGGCCGCCACAUGAUCAUUAGGGACGACGCGCAACACUGUCCUUUCAUUUACUGUAAGAAGCGCGCUAAACCGUGGAAACUCCAGGAUGGCGGAGGCUCUAAUAAGCAAUGUCGCCUGGAAGAUUAAUCACUGGGAGAUUUUGUUCCUUGGUCCAAACUGUUCCACUGAUGUCACCGUUCCCAAACGGAGACGCUGUGAACUGGACGCCUGUCAGUCUGAACCGCGGAGAUGUUGCGUCUCAUUCAGUCCAGACUGCUGAUGAAACUCAUCAUUUCCACCAAAAUGAAGACUCAGCACCGGAGGAGCAACAUGUCUGCCUCUAAAGCGUCAUAAUCCCAACACUCACUCUGACGGCGCCACCUGCUGGACAAAAGCUGCACGACAACAGAAAGGAAUCCAGCCGGUCCGUCUUUUUUAUGGCUGUAUGUGGAAAUCCUUGGAGAAUGUAAAUGUAAAUUGUUUAUUGUUUAGACAAAAUGUUUUGUUGAUGGCUUUAAGGAUCUCUUAGAGCGGAUGAGUGCAGGAAGUGUUUGUGUUUACUACUGAACUCUGGGUGAAGUACAGAAGGGCAGAUCAAGGACGGGGAUGUGUUGAUGUUACAUCUGAAAGGAUUUUUCCAACAACUAAAAUAUCAUUUUAACUGAAAAAAUCACAUCCGGAUGUGGCUCAAGGUUCAGUAAAUAACCGUUUGUGUGGAGCUUUUCUGACUUUGUGAUGUUUUAAAGACAGAAUAGGAAGGAAGAGAUUAAACCCAGAGUGGUUCUCUGAUGCAAUCUCACUUUUUCUGGGCUUUUAUAAGUCCUGAACAUCAGAGGAGAACCCAAAGGUUUUACUCAAGUAAGAACAGCACAAAUUCCACUUCUUUUUACUCGAGUAAAAGUAAAAAGUAGCUUGUCUACUAAAAAGGUAAAAAGGUGACUCAAGUACAGCGUAGCUGAUCAAAACACUAUUAUGUUCAUCAGAUGGACCAAAAUAUAAAGCUAUGUGUUAUUUAUAGACAAAAUAAUCUGAAUUUUGGGAAAAAGGCUGAAUUUUGGUAAAAUCCAGAUUGCUGCUCCUUGUGUUCUCACUAAAACCAGGAAGAUAGAGCACAUCACCCAGUUCUAAAGUCCUUCCACUGAGAGAAAAGACUUCAACAUACUGCUGUUAGUUUAUAAAUCACUGAACGGCUUAAAGAUCUGCUGUUGUAUAAAACUUACAGACCUCUUAGGCUUUCUGGUUCUGGUUCUGCUCUACAUCCCCAGAACCAGAACUAAACCUCUGGUGCAUAGCAGCGUUCAGCUUCUAUGCGGCACCACAAAUCUUAAACAAAACUUCCAGAAAACUGCAAAGUAGCCAAACACCAAGUUCCUUUAAAUCUAGAUUAAAGACUCUUUAGAGUUGCUCUUGAAACACAAUAAAUGAAACAUUGAUCAAUAAUCUGAUGGGCAAAAUGUAACGUUGACUGUUUCUAUGAUUUAGAAUUUUUGUGUUUUUCUGACACUGAAAUGCCUUGUUGCAAAUAAACUUGAUUGAUUGAUUGAUGUUCUGCUUGUAUCUUAUGCAGAUUUUAGUUUUCUUCCCCCUCAUCUGUGACUGAAAUUGACUCUGUUUCAUAAGGAUGUGACGACUGUAACUGCUAUUGCUACUGUUGCUGCUUCUCCUGCUGCUGCUUCUCUUGCUGCCGUUGCUGCAGACAUUGCUGCUGCUGCUGUUGCUGCAGACAUUGCUGCUGCUGCCGUUGCUGCAGACAUUGCUGCUGCUCCCUCUGUGUGGCGUCCGGCUGAGAGAAGCCUGUCGACCGUAUCAGCUCAUCUUUGACCCCAGAGGAGCGAGGCCGUGCUGCCUUAUCAGCGUAUCUGCAGGGCCAGCCACAGGUUUUAUUUGAGUUUUUUUGUGUGCUGCCAUGCCUCUGGGUUUCAGGUGGGCUUUUUGUUCCUGAAUGCAGGCUGUGGGCACGGAGAACAAUGCUGCGUUCAGAGAGCGAGGCAGAAACCGCACGUAGCAGUCCCAGCAUCAUUAUCUCAGAGGAGGAGCUUCAUCGUCGAAGGCGGGGCUAGGUCCACUCAGG